GACGAACGCUGGCGGCGUGCUUAACACAUGCAAGUCGAACGAAGUGGCGAACGGGUGAGUAACGCGUAAUCAACCUGCCCUUCAUCGGGGGAUAACAGUUGGAAACGACUGCUCAUACCGCAUACUGAAGGAGGGGAUUGCGUCUGAUUAGCUAGUUGGCGGGGUAACGGCCCACCAAGGCGAUGAUCAGUAGCCGGUCUGAGAGGAUGAACGGCCAAAUUGGGACUGAGACACGGCCCAGACUCCUACGGGAGGCAGCAGGGGGGACUGUGCCGCAAUGGACGAAAGUCUGACGGAGACACGGCGCGUGAGUGAUGACGGCCUUCGGGUUGUAAAGCUCUGUUAAUCGGGACGCGGUACCGGAAUAGAAAGCCACGGCUAACUACGUGCCAGCAGCCGCGGUAAUUC
rnacentral:rRNA from 1 species